GACUCGAAAGCGGAGUGGUUCGCGUCUGCUUGAUAUAGCGAUUCAUUAUGAUUAGUCUGCAGAUAUUGUCGGUUCGACUCCGGCUCGAGUAU